CCGGCCCGCCAGGGAUCGCGAACCCCGCCGAGAACAGCGCCGAGCCGACGAACAGCCAGCACACCAUCGAUGUGGUUUUCGCGGUCAGGAACACCGCUUCCUUGGUGCGCUUCCAGUCGAGCGUGCGCGCCUGGAACGCGAGCAGGAACGCGCCCGCCGCACCGACCGCCGCGGAUUCCGUCGCCGUCGUGAUGCCGAGCAGGAUCACCGCGAGCACGAUCACGGUCAGAAGACCGAGCGGCAUCAC
rnacentral:misc_RNA from 1 species